rnacentral:lncRNA from 1 species
UCUCUCUCUCUCACUCACUCGCUCGCUCGCUCAUUCUCGUUCUAUCGGGCCCCGGUGGGAUAGGACGCAGUGGAAGGAGUAGUAAGCGGCCUACGCAGUUUCAACUUCGGUCCCAGCUUUUAUUAGUUCUUCGGCGCUCGGCGGAGAACGUGCGUGCCGGAGCGGUACUCUCCCGUGCGCCCAUCACCAUCCGGGCUACUAUAGAUAAGACAAGACGGUUGGUGAUCGGAGAAAGGGAUUAGAAAGAAAAAAGGGGUGCAUUUGCGAGAAAA